GUCCUUUUGUAUAUAAUUUAAGGUCUGACCUGCCCACUGAAAAUUUAAAUGGCCGUGGUAUUUUGACCGUGCUAAGGUAGCAUAAUCAUUAGUUUUUUAAUUAAAAACUGGAAUGAAAGGUUGGAUAAAAAAAUAACUGUCUCUAUUAAAUUUCAUUAGAACUUUAUUUUUAAGUUAAAAAGCUUAAUUAAAAUUAAAAGACGAGAAGACCCUAUAGAGUUUAAUUAUUAAAUAAAAAUUAUAUUUUAGGAUUCAUUUAUAUAUUUUCUUUAAUAAUUUAAUUGGGGUGAUUAAAAAAUUUAAUAAACUUUUUUUAUUUUAAAACAUAAAUUUAUGAAUAAAUGAYCCAAUAUUUUUGAUUAUAAGAUAAAAUUACCUUAGGGAUAACAGCGUAAUUUUUUUGUAAAGUUCAUAUUAAAAAAAAAGAUUGCGACCUCGAUGUUGGAUUAAAAUUAAUGUUUGGUGUAGAAGCUAAAAUAUUGGGUCUGUUCGACCUUUAAAAUUUUAC
rnacentral:rRNA from 1 species